rnacentral:rRNA from 1 species
UACGUAGGGGGCUAGCGUUGUCCGGAAUCAUUGGGCGUAAAGCGCGUGUAGGCGGUCCGGUAAGUCUGCUGUGAAAGUCGGGGGCUCAACCCUCGAAUGCCGGUGGAUACUGUCGGGCUAGAGUGCGGAAGAGGCGAGUGGAAUUCCUGGUGUAGCGGUGAAAUGCGCAGAUAUCAGGAGGAACACCUAUUGCGAAGGCAGCUCGCUGGGACGUAACUGACGCUGAGACGCGAAAGCAUGGGGAGCGAACAGG